GACGAGGGGUCCUAGCGUUGUUCGGAAUCACUGGGCGUAAAGCGUUCGUAGGCGGCUCUAUAAGUCGGGUGUGAAAUCCCACGGCUCAACCGUGGAAGUGCAUUCGAAACUGCAGAGCUUGAAUAUGGUAGAGGGUAGUAGAAUUCCUGGUGUAGUGGUGAAAUACGUAGAUAUCAGGAGGAAUACCGGUGGCGAAGGCGGCUACCUGGACCAAUAUUGACGCUGAGGAGCGAAAGCGUGGGGAGCGAACAGG
rnacentral:rRNA from 1 species